GACGAACGCUGGCGGCGUGCUUAACACAUGCAAGUCGAACGGAAAGGCCCUGCUUUUGUGGGGUGCUCGAGUGGCGAACGGGUGAGUAACACGUGAGUAACCUGCCCUUGACUUUGGGAUAACUUCAGGAAACUGGGGCUAAUACCGGAUAGGAGCUCCUGCUGCAUGGCGGGGGUUGGAAAGUUUCGGCGGUUGGGGGUGGACUCGCGGCUUAUCAGCUUGUUGGUGGGGUAGUGGCUUACCAAGGCUUUGACGGGUAGCCGGCCUGAGAGGGUGACCGGCCACAUUGGGACUGAGAUACGGCCCAGACUCCUACGGGAGGCAGCAGUGGGGAAUAUUGCACAAUGGGCGGAAGCCUGAUGCAGCAACGCCGCGUGCGGGAUGACGGCCUUCGGGUUGUAAACCGCUUUCGCCUGUGACGAAGCGUGAGUGACGGUAAUGGGUAAAGAAGCACCGGCUAACUACGUG
rnacentral:rRNA from 1 species